rnacentral:sRNA from 1 species
GACAUCACCACACCUCCCCUGCCCCCCGUCGCACCUGAGGUGCUGAGAGUGGCCGAGCACAGGCACAAGAAGGGGCUGAUGUACCCCUACAUCUUCCAUGUCCUGACGAAGGUUCAACAUAAAUUAUAAAGGGGUGAAAUCAAAAUUGCUGUUUCUAUUGAAGAUGAAGCCAACAAGGACCUGCCUCCGGCCGCUCUGCUCUAUAGGCCAGUUCGUCAGUAUGUUUACGGAGUCCUGUUUAGUUUGGCAGAAAGCAGAAAGAAAACUGAGAGACUUGCUUUUAGAAAGAACAGACUUCCACCAGAAUGUAUGUACUGUAACAAUCCAUUGUUUGUUUUCCUCGGUACCUCGUAAUCUCUUGUGCAUUUUCUAAAGCCUUAGAAGAAUCAUGACUGAGUUGACCCCGAGUGCCUCUGUGUAAAGGAGGUGGGCCAUCAUCGGGGCAGUAGGCCAGGGUAAAGGCUCUUAGAAAAGGAGGAGAAGCCACAGACUUUCUUCCUCAGUAACAUUCCAAUAAUGAUGUUUAUUCAGUAAAAUAAUAAAACAGGUUUACACUUUAAA